CGGGGGUACACGAGCGGCGAACGGGUGAGUAACACGUGGGUGACCUGCCCUCCACUCUGGGAUAAGCCCGGGAAACUGGGUCUAAUACCGGAUAGGACCACUGAUCGCAUGGUUGGUGGUGGAAAGUUUUUUCGGUGGGGGAUGGGCCCGCGGCCUAUCAGCUUGUUGGUGGGGUGAUGGCCUACCAAGGCGGUGACGGGUAGCCGGCCUGAGAGGGCGACCGGCCACACUGGGACUGAGACACGGCCCAGACUCCUACGGGAGGCAGCAGUGGGGAAUAUUGCGCAAUGGGCGGAAGCCUGACGCAGCGACGCCGCGUGGGGGAUGACGGCCUUCGGGUUGUAAACCUCUUUCGCCAGGGACGAAGAGCAAUUGACGGUACCUGGAGAAGAAGCACCGGCCAACUACGUGCCAGCAGCCGCGGUAACACGUAGGGUGCGAGCGUUGUCCGGAAUUAUUGGGCGUAAAGAGCUCGUAGGCGGUGUGUCGCGUCGGCCGUGAAAACUUGGGGCUUAACUCUGAGCGUGCGGUCGAUACGGGCAUCACUUGAGUUCGGCAGGGGAGACUGGAAUUCCUGGUGUAGCGGUGAAAUGCGCAGAUAUCAGGAGGAACACCGGUGGCGAAGGCGGGUCUCUGGGCCGAUACUGACGCUGAGGAGCGAAAGCGUGGGGAGCGAACAGGAUUAGAUACCCUGGUAGUCCACGCCGUAAACGUUGGGCGCUAGGUGUGGGGACCAUUCC
rnacentral:rRNA from 1 species